rnacentral:rRNA from 1 species
GCAGUCGAACGGGGCCACCAUUUUUGAAGCGAUUAGCUUGCUAAGAGUGGAAAUGUUGGCGGCUUAGUGGCGGACGGGUGAGUAACGCGUGGGUAACCUGCCAUAUACAGGGGGAUAACACUUAGAAAUAGGUGCUAAUACCGCAUAAGCGCACGGAGCUGCAUGGCUCAGUGUGAAAAACUCCGGUGGUAUAUGAUGGACCCGCGUCUGAUUAGCUUGUUGGCGGGGUAACGGCCCACCAAGGCGACGAUCAGUAGCCGGCCUGAGAGGGUGGACGGCCACAUUGGGACUGAGACACGGCCCAAACUCCUACGGGAGGCAGCAGUGGGGAAUAUUGGACAAUGGGGGGAACCCUGAUCCAGCGACGCCGCGUGAGUGAAGAAGUAUUUCGGUAUGUAAAGCUCUAUCAGCAGGGAAGAAAGAAAUGACGGUACCUGACCAAGAAGCCCCGGCUAACUACGUGCCAGCAGCCGCGGUAAUACGUAGGGGGCAAGCGUUAUCCGGAUUUACUGGGUGUAAAGGGAGCGUAGACGGUAAUGCAAGUCUGGAGUGAAAUGCAGGGGCUCAACCCCUGAACUGCUUUGGAAACUGUAUGACUGGAGUGCAGGAGAGGUAAGUGGAAUUCCUAGUGUAGCGGUGAAAUGCGUAGAUAUUAGGAGGAACACCAGUGGCGAAGGCGGCUUACUGGACUGUAACUGACGUUGAGGCUCGAAAGCGUGGGGAGCAAACAGGAUUAGAUACCCUGGUAGUCCACGCCGUAUACGAUGAUCACUAGGUGUCGGUGGGUAUGGACCCAUCGGUGCCGCAGCAAACGCAGUAAGUGAUCCACCUGGGG